AUUGAACGCUGGCGGCAUGCCUUACACAUGCAAGUCGAACGGCAGCACGGGAGCAAUCCUGGUGGCGAGUGGCGAACGGGUGAGUAAUAUAUCGGAACGUGCCCAGUCGUGGGGGAUAACGUAGCGAAAGCUACGCUAAUACCGCAUACGAUCUAUGGAUGAAAGCGGGGGAUCGCAAGACCUCGCGCGAUUGGAGCGGCCGAUAUCAGAUUAGGUAGUUGGUGAGGUAAAGGCUCACCAAGCCGACGAGCUGUAGCUGGUCUGAGAGGACGGCCAGCCACACUGGGACUGAGACACGGCCCAGACUCCUACGGGAGGCGGCAGUGGGGAAUUUUGGACACUGGGCGCAAGCCUGAUCCAGCAAUGCCGCGUGCAGGAUGAAGGACUUCGGGUUGUAAACUGCUUUUGUACGGAACGAAACGGCGAGCUCUAAUGCAGUUUGCUAAUGACGGUACCGUAAGAAUAAGCACCGGCUAACUACGUGCCAGCCGCCGCUGUAAAAC
rnacentral:rRNA from 1 species